rnacentral:rRNA from 1 species
CUACGGGAGGCUCCAGUAAGGAAUAUUGCGCAAUGGAGGCAACUCUGACGCAGCCAUGCCGCGUGCAGGAAGAAGGCCUUAUGGGUCGUAAACUGCUUUUAUUUAGGAAUAAACCCCCGAACGUGUUCGGGGCUGAAGGUACUAAACGAAUAAGCACCGGCUAACUCCGUGCCAGCAGCCGCGGUAAUACGGAGGGUGCAAGCGUUAUCCGGAUUUAUUGGGUUUAAAGGGUGCGCAGGCGGGCUAUUAAGUCAGUGGUGAAAUCCCGGGGCUCAACUCCGGAACUGCCAUGGAUACUGAUAGUCUUGAGUUUGGUUGAAGUGGGCGGAAUGUAGCAUGUAGCGGUGAAAUGCAUAGAUAUGCUACAGAACGCCAAUCGCGAAGGCAGCUCACUAAGCCAAAACUGACGCUCAUGCACGAAAGCGUGGGGAUCAAACAGGAUUAGAUACCCUCGUAGUC